rnacentral:misc_RNA from 1 species
GGUGAUGAUCCUGAAAUGGUCUG